CGCAAAUUUUGAGAGAAGCACAUUUCAAUAGGAGUUUACCAACAGAAUGGUAUUUAAAAUUGGCCUAUGCCAAACUAUUAGGUUAAUUUGACGUGUAUGCAUAUGGUUUAUGGCAGACGUUACAUUGAAAAUAUAUAAUUACCCACUUAUGAAGGUGGUCAUUUUAAGUGUAUAGAAACGUCAUAUAAGGACUUCCGUCAUACGAAUAUUAAAAAAUAUUUAGGAUAACAAUUCGUUUAAGCUCAGUCAACAGCGCAUUCUAAGUUGUUGUUUAGAUAGAUCAGCCACAACCCUAAAUUACCAGGAGCAUCAAGGCAUUUGAUGUAUAUGGCAGCGGAACUGCUGACGCCGGAAUAUAAUAGUCGGAAUUAAUUUAUAACAGUGGUUCCCUACCUCUUAUGGCUCGCGGCCCUAUUCCAGGGGCUUUUAGCACUCAUGGCCCCUGUUAACCAUUCCAGUGGUAUUUAGAGUGUUAUUUUGAUUGGUAGAUUACAAAUCCCAUUAUGUUCGAACAAUUCUGACUCAACAAAGAGAAAAUACACGGUGAAAUAAACUUAUCAAUCUAUGAGAUUAGGAAGAACGGGGAGUUCUUUUGUCGGGAAGAAGUAAAAUCAGUUUUGCGCCUAGUAUAUUAUAUAUAGAGAGAGAAAUAUGUUAGAAAUAGCAAUUAGAUAGUUAACAUUAAACACAGAACAUCUAAAAUCAAAUUCACAGUGCAGAUAAUCGAUAUUGGUUUGGUCCUUUGAUAAAUGGUAACGUAAUUAAGUUUCCAAAUCUGUUUGAAAUCUACCAUCAGUUUAAUUAACGACAGAUCCACGCGAUGCCUAUUUUAUUAUAUAUAAUAAAAUCUAUCUAGCGAUGGACGAUUAUUAAAAUUCGUCUCGGUUCGAAUAGUUGCAAAAAACUAUCCUGCUAAUAUUGCAAAUUAUCAGUAAAACAAAAAUUUUCCUGUAAACCCCGAUUUUGUAAAAAAGGGGCUCUUCAAAACUGAAAAAAUGGUUUCUUCUAUGAUGAUUCAUCGGUAGUUUCUGAGAUACGUAGCAACAAUGUACGUCGAAGGUUGUGUUUUGUGCUAUGGGUGGAAUUGAACUGUUUCAAAUUGAUCAAUUUAAUUUGAAAAUGUUAUUUCAUACUUGAAGUUAUUAAAUUUCCAUGUUCGGCAAUUGCCGUUUGCAAAUCGCACUUGUAGAUUCUUCUUUAUUUACUACUUCAAAGUGUUACCACUAUAUCAUGUAGGCUACGAUCCGAACCACAGCGCUAUUCAACCAAUUUCUACGACGAGGGGUAUCUGGUCUACCAUGGGAAAGACGAGACCCAGCUUAUGAUUGGGGAUGUUUACAGUACGAUUAAUCGUCGCGAUUUUGACGAUAGUAUCGGAUUUUGAAACGCUUCCGACUAAGCUAGUAUGAUUAAUUAACCAUUAUCUGCGUUUGCCUUGCCAAUCCACUACACCGGACAGAUAUAUAUAUUAUAUUGUAUACGAAACCUCUUUCAAAAUGUUACUCAAAGUAUUAGGAAUGCUCUCAAUCCUCUGCGUGAUGCUUACUUAUAGUUCACCUCUUAAAGAACUACAAGAAGAACCAUCAGUAGUUGGAAUAUACGAACAGAAUCCAGACUUUGCCGAGCCAGACUUUGAUGCUUUUGCUGACCCAUCUCCAACUGGAGUGAUUUAUGUGACUAUGACGAUGGGAAGUGGAUAACUGAUAAAAGAUCGAGCCGACGUAUUACUAAGCUCUAAUGGUCUGUUGUAUAUUUUUGUGCUCGGAAAACAAGAAAAUGUUAAGUCUGUUUUAUUGUUAAUAUUGUCGUUUAUAAAUUCUGUUGCAUUGUCAUAAAUAAAACAGAUUUUUAUGUCGCAUAGUAGAAUUGUGGAUCCAUGUCGAAGACAUCGAAAGCAAUCAUUCAAAAUAUACAAUAACUCAUCUAUUAAUACUACCAGGUGUUUAAAUGUGUUCGUUUAUGUGAAACUGUAACCGUGAUAAUGAAAGUAUUUCCGCAGAAUCAGUUGAAUCUUAUUAGUUUUUUGUCUUAAAAAAUAAUCAUUAUAAAUUACCUUUUAAUCAAAUUAUCGCUGCCUUUGACGCAUCUGUUUAUUAUUGAAAAAAGAUGGACAUAAACUUUGUCAAGAAUUAAAAGAAGUUUGAAAGUAUUCGUGUAAGUGGAAUUGACAAUAAACGUGACAGUUGCUACUUGGUUGAUGCAUAAUUUAAUAUUUUUCAAAUUUCUGCAGUCUGCACCCAAAUUUUUUAUUGCUAUUAUUUAUAUACGUUUAGUUGAUUCGUAUGAGUAUAUCUUCUCGUUUCCCGUUAAGUUCGACAUGGAUAUGAUUCCCCCAAUACACGUCAAUUGUCUCGUGUGAUAACCCUGGCAUUUAAUACAAAGAUCAUCUACUAAUAUGUUAACUACUGAAUUACAGUACACUUAGAAAGCUUUCCUCAAAUUGAUAAUUUUUUUUCUGAGAUAACCAAUAGGUACUGCUUCUUUAUAUAUUUAAUCUAUUUAAAGAAUUUUUUGUUCUAUAUACAAAAAGAAACUUCGAAACUAAAAAACAUACAAUUUACUUUGACUUAGAGAAACAAGGUUUUUUAAAGCAACAUUGAAAUUUUGCAGAAAAACAUAGGUCAUCGCAAAACAAUUUCCGAUAGAUUGCAAUCUAGAAAUUUCAAUGAUGUGUAACAUCUCAAAUAUUGACAGUGAUACUUCAAAGUAUGAAAUCAACUGAUAUUAUAUUUUGUGCAAUUGAGUGUACUCUUGAUAACCACACAUUGUGUCACUAACGCACCAUUCUUCAUCGACAAUAAAUUACCUGGAACCUGAA